rnacentral:sRNA from 1 species
ACCGUUCACAAUGCGUCUCAUUUUCCUGGUAUCCACCCUGCUACUAGUGACAACCGCCAUUUCCGACACCCGUGUGUUUAUUGGAGAACUGUUUGAGCACAACCUUGGAGACAACUACACCAUUGCUACUGGAAAGGAUUCCGGCCCACUUCCUUCAUGGCUCAUGGUUCGCGACCAGACGCUAACGGGUAUCCCAACUGAAAACGACGUUGGCAGGCACACUGUCAUGG